rnacentral:rRNA from 1 species
UUUUAUGAGAGUUUGAUCCUGGCUCAGGACGAACGCUGGCGGCGUGCCUAAUACAUGCAAGUCGAACGCACUUUCUUUCACCGUAGCUUGCUACACCGAAAGAAAGUGAGUGGCGAACGGGUGAGUAACACGUGGGUAACCUGCCCAUCAGCGGGGGAUAACACUUGGAAACAGGUGCUAAUACCGCAUAAUAUUACUUUUCGCAUGAAAGGUAAUUGAAAGGCGCAAAUGCGUCACUGAUGGAUGGACCCGCGGUGCAUU